rnacentral:rRNA from 1 species
UACAGAGGUGGCAAGCGUUGUUCGGAAUUACUGGGCGUAAAGGGCGCGUAGGCGGCCAUCUAAGUCAGACGUGAAAUCCCCGGCUUAACCUGGGAACUGCGUCUGAUACUGGACGGCUUGAGUAUGGGAGAGGGAUGUAGAAUUCCAGGUGUAGCGGUGAAAUGCGUAGAUAUCUGGAGGAAUACCGGUGGCGAAGGCGGCAUCCUGGACCAUUACUGACGCUGAUGCGCGAAAGCUAGGGGAGCAAACGGG